GACGAACGCUGGCGGCGUGCUUAACACAUGCAAGUCGAACGGAAAGGCCCUGCUUUUGUGGGGUGCUCGAGUGGCGAACGGGUGAGUAACACGUGAGUAACCUGCCCUUGACUUUGGGAUAACUUCAGGAAACUGGGGCUAAUACCGGAUAGGAGCUCCUGCUGCAUGGUGGGGGUUGGAAAGUUUCGGCGGUUGGGGAUGGACUCGCGGCUUAUCAGCUUGUUGGUGGGGUAGUGGCUUACCAAGGCUUUGACGGGUAGCCGGCCUGAGAGGGUGACCGGCCACAUUGGGACUGAGAUACGGCCCAGACUACUACGGGAGGCAGCAGUGGGGAAUAUUGCACAAUGGGAGGAAGCCUGAUGCAGCAACGCCGCGUGCGGGAUGACGGCCUUCGGGUUGUAAACCGCUUUCGCCUGUGACGAAGCGUGAGUGACGGUAAUGGGUAAAGAAGCACCGGCUAACUACGU
rnacentral:rRNA from 1 species